GGGAUGCUACCGGGCGACCGGAUGCGGAUCUCGAAAGCCUGUCCCAGUUCGGACUGGAGUCUGCAACCCGACUCCACGAAGUUGGAUUCGCUAGUAAUCGCGCAUCAGCCAUGGCGCGGUGAAUACGUUCCCGGGCCUUGUACACACCGCCCGUCAAGCCAUGGGAGCCGGGGGCGCCUGAAGUCCGGGACCGCGAGGACCGGCCUAGGGCGAAACUGGUAACUGGGGCUAAGUCGUAACAAGGUAGC
rnacentral:rRNA from 1 species